AGACUAAAAUUCAAAGAGAUAAAAGACACUUGAAAGAAACUGCGGGAGUUGAAUUUAUAAAAUAUUUCAUUCACUUGAACAACUUUAUAGCAAUUGUUUUCUCUUCUACUUCCUCUUUUUAUUCAUUUUUUCGAAGGAGUAUGUAUUGACAUGUAUUAAAAUAUUACAAACAUAAUUCCUUUUUUUUCUUCCUCUUAUCCUUCUAUUUUUUCAUUCCUUUUUUUUUUAUUUUCUAUUUUCUUUUUCUAUUUUUUUUCUUUUUCUGCCAUUUUCUAAAAUAUUACUAACAUAAUUAUUCAACCCC
rnacentral:lncRNA from 1 species